rnacentral:rRNA from 1 species
UGAGUACGAGCUGCUACGGCAGCGAAGUGGGUGACGUCAAGCUUCCAAGAAAAGCCCUACACCCGUUAAGGCAUGAUGGCCUGUACCCGAAACCGACACAGGUAGGAUGGUAGAGAAUACCGAGGGGCGCGAGGUAACUCUCUCUAAGGAACUCGGCAAAAUGGCCCCGUAACUUCGGGAGAAGGGGUGCCACCGCAAGGUGGUCGCAGUGAAGAGGCCCAGGCGACUGUUUACCAAAAACACAGGUCUCCGCUAAGUCGCAAGACGAUGUAUGGGGGCUGACGCCUGCCCAGUGCCGGAAGGUUAAGGAAGCUGGUCAGCGCAAGCGAAGCUGGCGACUGAAGCCCCGGUGAACGGCGGCCGUAACGAUAACGGUCCUAAGGUAGCGAAAUUCCUUGUCGGGAAAGUUCCGACCCGCACGAAAGGCGUAACGAUCUGGGCGCUGUCUCGGAGAGAGGCUCGGCGAAAUAGAAUUGUCUGUGAAGAUGCGGACUACGUGCACCCGGACAGAAAGACCCUAUGAAGCUUUACUGUAGCUUGGUAUUGUGCCCGGGCUCUGAAUGCGCAGGAUAGGUGGGAGGCUUUGAUCAACAGCUUGCGGGUUGUUGUGAGCCAACGGUGAGAUACCACUCUUUCAGAGCUAGGGUUCUAACGGUCACCCGUUAUCCGGGGACCGGACAGUAUCAGGUGGGCAGUUUGACUGGGGCGGUCGCCUCCUAAAAGGUAACGGAGGCGCGCAAAGGUUUGCUCAGGCUGGUUGGAAAUCAGCCGACGAGUGUAAAAGCAGAAGCAAGCUUGACUGUGAGACCUACAAGUCGAACAGGGACGAAAGUCGGCUUUAGUGAUCCGACGGUUCUGAGUGGAAGGGCCGUCGCUCAACGGAUAAAAGUUACUCUAGGAUAACAGGCUGAUCUCCCCCAAGAGUUCACAUCGACGGGGGGGUUUGGCACCUCGAUGUCGGCUCAUCGCAACCUGGGGCUGAAGUCGGUCCCAAGGGUUGGGCUGUUCGCCCAUUAAAGCGGUACGCGAGCUGGGUUCAGGACGUCGUGAGACAGUUCGGUCCAUAUCCGGUGCAUGCGCAGGAAUAUUGAGAGGAGUUCUCCCUAGUACGAGAGGACCGGGAGGAACGCACCUCUGGUGUACCAGUUAUCGUGCCAGCGGUAAACGCUGGGUAGCCAUGUGCGGAGAGGAUAACCGCUGAAAGCAUCUAAGUGGGAAGCCCACCUCAAGAUGAGUAUUCCCAUGGCAUAAGCCAGUAAGGUCACGGGAAGAACACCCGUUGAUAGGCUCUACGUGGAAGCGCAGUAAUGCGUGAAGCGGAGGAGUACUAAUAGACCGAGGGCUUGACC